UACAGAGGGGGCAAGCGUUGUUCGGAAUUACUGGGCGUAAAGGGCGCGUAGGCGGCCUUCUAAGUCGAACGUGAAAUCCCCGGGCUCAACCCGGGAACUGCGUCCGAUACUGGAAGGCUUGAAUCCGGGAGAGGGAUGUGGAAUUCCUGGUGUAGCGGUGAAAUGCGCAGAUAUCGGGAAGGAACACCAGUGGCGAAGGCGACUACCUGGCCUGUUCUUGACGCUGAGGCGCGAAAGCUAGGGAGCAA
rnacentral:rRNA from 1 species